rnacentral:rRNA from 1 species
UAGGGAAUAUUGGUCAAUGGAUGGAAGUCUGAACCAGCCAUGCCGCGUGCAGGAAGACGGCCUUCUGGGUUGUAAACUGCUUUUGCCAGGGGCUAAAAAGCUCAUGCGUGAGAAAUUGAAAGUACCUGGUGAAUAAGCCACGGCUAACUACGUGCCAGCAGCCGCGGUAAUACGUAGGUGGCAAGCGUUGUCCGGAUUUAUUGGGUUUAAAGGGUGCGUAGGCGGCUUUGUAAGUCAGUGGUGAAAUAUGGCAGCUCAACUGUCAGGGUGCCAUUGAUACUGCGGAGCUUGAGUACAGAUGAGGUAGGCGGAAUUGACGGUGUAGCGGUGAAAUGCUUAGAUAUCGUCAAGAACACCGAUAGCGAAGGCAGCUUACUAGGCUGUAACUGACGCUGAGGCACGAAAGUGUGGGGAUCAAACAGGAUUAGAUACCCUGGUAGUCCACACUGUAAACGUUGAUGACUCGCUGUUGGCGAUACACGGCCAGCGGCAGAGAGAAAUCGUUAAGUCAUCCACCUGGGGAGUACGCCGGCAACGGUGA